GAUGAACGCUGGCGGCGUGCUUAACACAUGCAAGUCGAACGAGAAUCAACGGAUUGAGGAUUCGUCCAAAUGAAGUUGAGGAAAGUGGCGGACGGGUGAGUAACGCGUGAGGAACCUGCCUCGGAGUGGGGAAUAACAGUUGGAAACAGCUGCUAAUACCGCAUAAUGCAACGAAAUCGCAUGACUUUGUUGCCAAAGAUUUAUCGCUCUGAGAUGGCCUCGCGUCUGAUUAGCUAGUUGGCGGGGUAACGGCCCACCAAACCGACGAUGGAUAGGGGUUCUGAGAGGAAGGUCCCCCACAUUGGUACUGAGACACGGACUAA
rnacentral:rRNA from 1 species